GACGGAGGAUGCAAGUGUUAUCCGGAAUCACUGGGCGUAAAGCGUCUGUAGGUGGUUUAAUAAGUCAACUGUUAAAUCUUGAGGCUCAACUUCAAAAUCGCAGUCGAAACUAUUAGGCUAGAGUAUAGUAGGGGUAAAGGGAAUUUCCAGUGGAGCGGUGAAAUGCGUAGAGAUUGGAAAGAACACCGAUGGCGAAGGCACUUUACUGGGCUAUUACUAACACUCAGAGACGAAAGCUAGGGUAGCAAAUGGG
rnacentral:rRNA from 1 species